AUUUUGUCAUAGGACCAAGUUCAUAUAUCUCACUAAAAAAGUUCAAAAUGUGCCCUUACACAUUUCCAUUACCCAUGGCAUGGCUCAUCUAUGUAUAACCCAUAUGCAGAACUAUCUGCAGAUCUUAUAUAUACUAAUUAACAUAAAGCUUCAGUAAUUCAUGACUAUGUAAGAAUUCAUGUAGGAUAUUAUUAUUUAUUAAUACUCCGCAUUUCAUA